UUGAACGCUGGCGGCAUGCCUUACACAUGCAAGUCGAACGGCAGCACGGGUGCUUGCACCUGGUGGCGAGUGGCGAACGGGUGAGUAAUACAUCGGAACAUGUCCUGUAGUGGGGGAUAGCCCGGCGAAAGCCGGAUUAAUACCGCAUACGAUCUACGGAUGAAAGCGGGGGACCUUCGGGCCUCGCGCUAUAGGGUUGGCCGAUGGCUGAUUAGCUGGUUGGUGGGGUAAAGGCCUACCAAGGCGACGAUCAGUAGCUGGUGUGAGAGGACGACCAGCCGCACGAGGAGUUGAACAGCGACCAGGCGCCUACGAGAGGCAGCAGUGGGGUACUUGGGACAAUGGGCGAGAGCCUGAUCCAGCAAUGCCGCGUGUGUGAAGGAGGCCUUCGGGGUGUAAAGAACUUUUGUCCGGAAAGAAAUCCUUGGGCCUAAUACGGUCGGGGGAUGACGGUACCGGAAGAAUAAGCACCGGCUAACUACGUG
rnacentral:rRNA from 1 species